rnacentral:rRNA from 1 species
UACGUAGGGGGCAAGCGUUGUCCGGAAUCAUUUGGGCGUAAAAGCGCGUGUAGGCGGUUCGAUAAGUCUGCUGUCGAAAGUCCAGGGCUCAAACCCUGGGAUGCCGGUGGAUACUGUCGGGCUAGAGUGCGGAAGAGGCGAGUGGAAUUCCCGGUGUAGCGGUGAAAUGCGCAGAUAUCGGGAGGAACACCAAUUGCGAAGGCAGCUCGCUGGACGUCACUGACGCUGAGACGCGAAGCGUGGGGAGCAAACAGG